UUAUAAAAAGGAAGAAGCCCUGUCCAUUGCCCACUUUCGUUCUAGGGUUUUGUAGGAGCAGCCAGGAGACGAUCUCUCUUAGAUGUAUUUUUGAAUCUUAAUAUCGGGCGGCGGCGAUGGUACAGAGAAGGGUUGCCGUCAGAUCGGCUUCUGUUUCCAGACAUGGAACCUCGGCUCAUGUAGGGUUUUCAUUUCUACGGAAGCAGAGCAAGAGCACCUGCUUGUCUGUGUACACGGACAUGGUUGGAGAAGAUGGUGGAAGGAAAGACUCGUCAUAUUGGGGUUUUGGUGUAAACAUGUUAUGCUUUGGAUUGUGUAUUAUAUAAUUUCAUGGAUUUCCUCGAAUUUGGUUUAUAAAUUUUAUCAUGUCUUCAGUUUCUGGUUGUAGUUCUAAUUAGAAUUUCCCGAGCAAUAAAAUGCUAGUUUUAUGUUUU